rnacentral:rRNA from 1 species
CCUACGGGCGACAGCAGUGAGGAAUAUUGGUCAAUGGCCGGAAGGCUGAACCAGCCAUGCCGCGUGAAGGGCAGGGCCCUAUGGGCGUUAAACUUCUUUUGUGCGGGAGCAAGAAUGGUCACGUGUGGCCAGACGAGAGUACCGUACGAAUAAGCAGCGGCUAACUCCGUGCCAGCAGCCGCGGUAAUACGGGGGAUGCAAGCGUUAUCCGGAUUUAUUGGGGUUAAAGGGUGCGUAGGCUGUGAGGUAAGUCAGCGGUGAAAUGCCCCCGCUCAACGGGGUGAAGUGCCAUUGAUACUGCCUUGCUGUACUGCGGAUGCCGUGGGAGGAAUGUGUGGUGUAGCGG